CAGAUUAUCUUGCGAGAUAGUGGUCACGUCACGCGUUCUUCCGGAAGUUCACAUUCAAACACGAGGAGCGAUUACGAGGGAGUUUUGUCUAUAUAUUAUGUAAAAUCUACUGUUGGGAAAAGCAGAACCUCAUCCAAAUAAAAAUAAACAAGCUGUUAAAGGCACUGUGUCCUACACAGACCCUCCAAAAUAUAACCACCCAAAACCCAAGUCAGUUGAAGAUCAACACAAACCAAAUAAAGAUGCGCAUUCUACAAACAAUAAAAAAAG